UAAGGCGGUUUGCCGCUUCUUAUCCAUUUGCGCUGUAAAUCUAUUUGUCGGGCCCGAAGGAUGUAAUUUCGGAUGAUGAAAAUUAAUAUACCUACGUUUCGAAAGUAAAUUGUCAUUUUUAAGGAUGGAGGAGAAGGUGAAGCUGCUGAGGGGAGGAGCCCACUGGGAAUUAUUGCCAGGUUAACUGGGUUGAAGGAAAAGCUCCAGCAGAAGUAACCCCUUCGGAGGACAGUGCACAGUGUUUCAGGCUAUCCAUUUUAAAAAAAGGAGGAUGAUGAAGGUGGAGUAGGAAGAAGAAGGAGGAAGACUAAGGAG